rnacentral:rRNA from 1 species
CAUGGAGGGUGAGAAUCCCGUCCGGCUGACCUUCAGGACGUUUUACGAUACGCUCUCAAAGAGUCGAGUUGUUUGGGAUUGCAGCUCAAAAUGGGAGGUAAAUUUCUCCUAAGGCUAAGUACCGGCGAGAGACCGAUAGCGAACAAGUACCGUGAGGGAAAGAUGAAAAGAAUUUUGAAAAGAAAGUCAAACAGUACGUGAAAUUGUUGAAAGGGAAACGAUUGAAGCCAGUCGUACCGACGGGAAUUCAACUUCUCGAGUGCUAAUCGUGGGUGACGUUGAGCCUCACGGCCUUCGUUGCUUGUGUUGUUGGUGCUUUUGGGGUGUACUUUUCCGUAUUGGUAGGUCAGCAUCGAUUUCGAUCGUCAUAAAAUGAUCGGGGGAAUGUAGCUUCGGUCUCGUAUCGGAGUGUUAUAGACCUUGGUAGAUGUGACGAUUGGGAUCGAGGAUUGCAACGAAUACCUUCUGGGCUAUCCGUCUGACCUCUGAAAGUCGCUCGGGUGUCGAAAGCGUGCUUAUGGCUAUUCGAGUUGGCGGUCAAUAGGUUAGAACGUGAUUACAUUCGUUAAGGAUGUUGACGUAAUGG